AAGACUAUACUUUCAGGGAUUAUUUCUAUAGUAUGUGACUAGAGAAGUUUCUCUGGUCAUGUAGAGCACCCGAAGCCACAAGGAGGAGUCAGAGCGUCCUCUCCUGAGCGUGAAGCGGCACUAGAUGUUGCCUUUGAGACUGCCUUUUGCCACUGAUGAUCGUUCUUCCCUUCCUUUGGAAGGGGUAGAGGGGGAGGAUGCAGUCUGAGGGGU